UACUAAUAUUUGCUCUGCUUUUGUAGUUGUGGAUUUUGAACACACCCAGAAUAUUCUACACCCCUUUUGAUGUAAUGAAAACCCAGAUUCAGUGGUAACACCUCUCCGGUUAGUGACAGCACAUAAGACAUGUCACAUUUUGUCUUGGAGAAUCAGAAAUUGUCAUGCUGUUGGCAUUAUAUUGAAACCAGGUGCCAAGAUGAAUCCAGGGUUAGUUUUUCUCAUCAUAUCACUUCAGUGGAUCACAGGUUUUGCAGAUGUAAAUGCUGUUACACAGUCACCAAACUUUAUGCUCGCUGCUAAGGAAAAUGCCACUCUCAACUGCAAUCACACAAAAGGUGAUACUUAUAACAGAAUGUACUGGUUUCGUCAGCAUCAAGGAAAAACUAUGGAGCUCAUAGUGUUCACAACAAGUUUUGGCACUGUGGAAUUUGGAAAGCUGGAAAAAACGAAAUACUCAGUCAAACAUGAAUCUGCUGCCAAGGGUGUUCUUACUGUGAUAAGUCUGGAGUCUGAUGACAAUGCGCUGUAUUUGUGUGCAGUGAGUGAACACAGUGAAGCAGAAUCAUUUCACAGAUGUACAAAAACCCACCUUUUUAAUCUGUCAUGACAACUGAUAUAAAAGAUCACACAGACAGGUGGCGCUCGUGUUUGUCACAAUGCAGCCUUAUAGAAGGACUUAGAUCUUUAUGUAUUUUACAUGACAUACCUGUAAACUCACAGCUAGCACAUUCUCACAACAAGUAAACAUGAUCAGGACUGUCCUCAGUGUUUUUUUUUUUCUCAUCUGUCUCUCAGGUAGAAAAUAUUUGACUAUACACAUCCUUCACAUUUUUUUUUUUACAAAGUCAUGGUUUUUCCCACUAUUUAAUAAACAGCUAAGUAUUAUUAUUAUAAAUUAAAAUGAAUAAAUAAUUAUUCAAUAAAAGCAUAAACAGGACUGUAUGAAAUUAUUAACAUAUUUCCACCUUUUUUAAAAAGAUAUUUCAAAUAGUAAAGAUAUCCAUCAGACUCCCAAAGAUCUGAUCAAGGAUCCUGAACAAUCUGAAGACCUCCACUGUUCUCGUAGUUCAUCUUACAAUGUCAUGCUCUAGUACAAACAAAAGCGUGGCAAAAGUUUGGAGUUGCUUGGAUAUCUUGUGGGUUCUAGUGAUGCAGUUGAGGAUAAGUUCAAAAAUAAAAUCAAAAUAUCAGCCUGAUAAGGAUCUUUUUUUUUUUUUUUCAUUUGAAAGCUCCGCAGCCUCAGACCCCAAUAAAAAAAUAAAGUCAUAGAGGAUUGAACCUCAGUGAGUUUACAUAAUUCUUUUUUUUUUUUUACUAAUUUAUUUUAAUUAAACUUCUAAUUUUAAACAAACAAACAAACAAAAAUCUGGUUAUUCAUUUUAUAGUUUAAAAUGUGAACAACAGAGGGCAGUGUUGUAACUACAAAUAUUUUAGAUUUUACCCCAAUAUGACAUCCUCUGUAAAAGAUGGAAACAUUUCUUAUAUCUCAUACAUAAUCCCGUUCUCUUUCCACUGGCAUGUAAUAGCACACAUCACUUUGUUCUUAAGGAAGAGUAACUUGUGUCAACAUGAGUCAACUUCUGAUUAAUUUAUGCAACCUCUAUUUGUUCUCCACUCUGGAUUCAGGGUAUGUAUUGCUAUUAUUAUUAUUUUUAAAUAUAUUACAUUCAUUUACAUAUGAUAUUAGCUACAGUACAUCACAAACCCAAUCUGUAGAGAUGAAAUUCAUGAUCACUGCUUAAACUGCCUCAAGCAUUUCAUUUUUUUUUUUUUUUUUUUUUUUGUAGGUUCCACUCUGAGUGACUAAGUUGUUCAGAAUCCUUGUGACGUGAUAGUGAAUGUUUCAGAUUCUCCAGAGCUGUAGUGUUCCCAUUGCAUCUCAAGCUAUGACCGUAUCCUGUGGUAUAAACAAACCUGGGAUGGACAGGUUGUUUUAUUGGGAUAGCUCCUUGGUAUAUUCCAUAAUUAAGAGUCUGAAGUCAAAACAAAUUAAAUUUAAAUGGUGAUGGAAAUAAAAAUGGCAAAUUAACAAACAAUCCCUGGAGUUUAAUGAUACUGUCACAUAUUUCUGUGUAGCAUCUACACAGUGCCACACAUUUGGUGUAUCAUUUCUACAAAAGCCGGCUGACGGGCUACAAUUGACCACAGAAUGCUUAUCGACUCACCUUUGAAUUGCAGUUUUAACGUGGAUUUCGCUCCAAACAUCUGCUGAGUCUGAUGUCACAACCUAUGUCUCUUACCUCAAAUGUCUUCAGUUCAGACUCUAACUCAUUCAAUAUGAUCAGAGUUUUGGUUGUGGUUAUUGCUUCUGUGUUCUGGCAAACAGGAAAUUCACUGGCGACCAGCAUCAUUAAUACCCAACAAAUUUAUACACUUUGACAUAAUUUAUAAUGAUUGCAUUGUUUCCUUUUGUCCGGGACCUGUUAGCAGUAAAGUUCACCAAGUACCUCCAGAUCUACUGCUGAAUCUUUAUGAAACACUGCAUGUCAAGUGCAGCCACAACAUUAAUGAUUAUGUCACUUUUCUGUGAUAUCAGCAGCUGAUUGGUGCUCCAGACCUUAAACUCAUCAGAUAUGUGUAUUAUAAAAUACCAGCUAUUGAGCAUGAAUAUACAGAGCUCUUUGAAGUGAGGGGAGAAGCAGAUCUUUACUCUCUAAAAUUAAGACAAACUCAAGACAAUGGCAUGUACUUCUGUGCUGCACGUGCACAGUACUAAAAAUGUGCAUUUUACCUCACAAAAACCCUCAGAGAUCUGAUCUGUUAAACACAACAUCCUACACAUUUGCAAAGAUCACAAUCUAUGAAUUGUAUUCCAACAGCCUUGAUGUUAUGCAUCAGUUAGAAUGAAACGGCAUAGUUUCCUAUCAGUUGGGGGCAGUGUGUCUUCAUGCAUCACUUAUGACACUCUGGUAGUUUAUAUACUCAGUGAAUGCACGUCAGACCUGUCACUACUUCUAUAAGCCCCCACUCAGAAUGUUCCUGAAUCUGUUCAUAUACAUAAGUUUGAUGCUAUCAGUCUCAGGUAAUGUUAAUAUAAUUUAUAUGUCAUAAUACACUUCCUAAUAAUACAAAUUUAGGUUUGUAGUUGUGAUUUCUGUUGUUUUUCUGUAGGUUUGUAAUUGUGAUUUUUGUUUUCACAGGUGAAAAGGGUGACAUGACUGUUCACCAGAAACCUUACAAUCUGAUAAUAAAUUACGGCGAAUCUCCUGAAAUUAAGUGCUUCCACAAAAUCCCAGACUAUGACCGCCUGUUGUGGUACAAGCAAUCCCAGAGUGAAGAGUUAACAUUCAUGGGAUAUCUACUUGGUGACACUGGAUACUCAGAAAAAGCUUUCCAGAACAAAAUUAAAAUACGUGGUGAUGCAAAUAAUUUUCAUGGCUCUUUAACUCUGAUCAAUUCUACAUCAGAAAACAGUGCUGUUUAUUUCUGUGCAGCCUAUUACACAGUAACACUAAAUUUGUUCCUCCCUUACAAAAACCCAGUAUUAAGAAUUAUUGUUUAUAGUCCUACACCUGUGAUAAACCACUGCUAGAUAAUAUAAUGCUCUUUUUCAGAGCCUAGUGAGUUCCCUUCCUACUUACACAGGCAGCUGCCAUCUGUGACGUUCUGAUACAAACCAAGCUUUACAUUUAAAUGAUUUUGAACACUCCAUAUAAAUAACUUCAUAUGAAGUGACUCACCUACAACUGAUUUCAAUAGUAUGAUUAUUUUGCUAGUGAAACACACACCUCUAAAUGUGUUCUGUCCAAUUAAAACUUUCCAAACAGAUGAAAAAUUCCUUACUUAGUCUUAGUGUAUAUGCAUGACAUUUGUUUUCUGUUGUUGUCUGUAAUGGCCAAAUACAUUUUAAAUUACUAAAAAUUAUAGUUCACCCAAAAAUGAAAAUUUGAUGUUUAUCUGCUUACCACCAGGGCAUCCAAGAUGUAGGUGACUUUGUUUCUUCAGUAUCACACAGACCAAGAUUUUUAACUCAAACCGUUGCAGUCUAUCACUCUUAUAAUGUAAGUGGAUGGAAUCAUGGAUAAAACAUACAAUAAAACUAAAAAAAAAAAAACAUACACAAACGAAACCAACUUAAACUCUGCGCUCGUUGACGAUACAUUGAUGUGUAAAGACACAAAACUAUCAGUCUGUGCAAGAUUCACACAAUGUCUGAACUGUUAGAACUCUCCUGAUCGUGUCCUCCUGAGUGCAUUCUCAGCAGCAG
ensembl:lncRNA